AUUGAACGCUGGCGGCAUGCUUUACACAUGCAAGUCGAACGGCAGCGCGGGCUUCGGCCUGGCGGCGAGUGGCGAACGGGUGAGUAAUGCAUCGGAACGUGCCCAGUAGUGGGGGAUAGCCCGGCGUAAGCCGGAUUAAUACCGCAUACGACCUGAGGGUGAAAGCGGGGGACCGAAAGGCCUCGCGCUAUUGGCGCGGCCGAUGUCGGAUUAGCUAGUUGGUGGGGUAAAGGCUUACCAAGGCGACGAUCCGUAGCUGGUCUGAGAGGACGACCAGCCACACUGGGACUGAGACACGGCCCAGACUCCUACGGGAGGCAGCAGUGGGGAAUUUUGGACAAUGGGGGCAACCCUGAUCCAGCCAUGCCGCGUGCGGGAAGAAGGCCUUCGGGUUGUAAACCGCUUUUGUUCGGGAAGAAAUCCUCUGGGCUAAUACCCCGGGGGGAUGACGGUACCGGAAGAAUAAGCACCGGCUAACUACGUG
rnacentral:rRNA from 1 species